AAGCUCGAAAAACAACUCGCCCAAUUCCUCAUCCAAAAAGCAAAACAAAUCAUCCAAAAAGAAAAAACAAUCAUACAAAAUAUAAGAGCACCAGUUUAUAUAAUGGGAGAUUUACAUGGUCAGUUUCUUGAUAUGUUGUCUUUUUUU
rnacentral:ribozyme from 13 species